ACUCCCUACGGGAGGCAGCAGUGGGGAAUAUUGCACAAUGGGGGAAACCCUGAUGCAGCCAUGCCGCGUGUGUGAAGAAGGCCUUCGGGGUUGUAAAGCACUUUCAGUAGGGAGGAAGGUAGUGUAGUUAACACCUGCAUUAUUUGACGUUACCUACAGAAGAAGCACCGGCUAACUCCUGCCAGCAGCCGCGGUAAUACGGAGGGUGCGAGCGUUAAUCGGAAUUACUGGGCGU
rnacentral:rRNA from 1 species